UUAAUGUUAUGUCAGGGAUCGAAAUGCGUGGCUAUUUUAAAAUAUUCAUCAGAGUUGUUGAUAUGGUUUAGCCUCUGCCUCUGGGUUUCCAUGUCAAGUCGCCAGAAUAGAACAUUAGAAGAGAAACCAAUCAGAGGAUGCAGCAAAAAUGAAAGGAGAUCAACCAAGCAACAAGACUCCGAUCAUUGAAAUCUCAGUAUUAUCAGUGACAGUAGCAGCAGUUUUGUCACUCACUCAACUUCCUUAUACGAAGGUGCAAGGAAACCCAGUCCCAACUAUUCUGUUCAGCCACAGCAAUCCCUCCUUGUUCCAUGCUUUUGUAUUGUCUCUCAACUUUGCUUUCUUCGGUUCUCUCAAUUCCCUCACUCUUCGCCACUCAUAUCCCAGACUUGCCAACGCUUCUCUGCUUCUUUCUCUCUUCUCCACCGCCGCCUGGGCCGCCGUUCUCCUCUACCUUACCGUUCCCGUCUUCUUCACUUUUGCCACAUCCUUCUCAUAGAUACAUCCUAGGACCUGCCUCCAGAAACAAGACAUGCUCAAUGGGAGAGGGAGCAAAAUAUCAGCCGAAGAAUCGACGAGAGGAGAGGAGAGGAGCAGAAGAAAAUGAAAGCAAAACUUGCCAAUUAAAAUUGCCUCAUCUCCAACCACAAGGUCAAAUUUAUGAGUGUGAAACCCAAGCGGAUCGGAGUUUUGUGAUGAUUUGAAUCUGAUUCCUUCACACUCAGUGGUACGAUCUGUGAGAAUGGCGUCUCUGGUUUUUCUGGAAAUGAUUGUGGUUUUGACCCAGACGGCGGCAUGGUGCUCUUCUGGGUUCCCCGUGGAGCCUUGGAGGUUGAUCGCUACAGAUUUCCCUGAAAAAAUGACAAUUAAAACCCCUAACGUCAUUAAUUUCAAUUAAAAACCAUAAUCUUUAUUUGAAAUAACAAAAAAUACAUAACAUUAUAAAAUUGUUUUUUAUUAAACACUAAAAAAUACAUAACUUUAUAAAAUUAUCUUUUACUAAACACAAAAUAUAUAUAAUACUACUAAAAAUAUUAUCAUGGUAUGAAAAUAUUGUUAAUAUUUAUUAAAAAAACAAAG